CUCGGCAGGUGGGGUCCUGGCGUGACCUCUGCGGGGCGAGGCAGCGGGAGCCGGUGUCUGCCGGACCCUGUGCUCUGGGCUUGCAGCACUGAGGUCACUGUGGCUGCAUGCGUGGGCAGCCGGACACCAUGAUGAUCCUUUCCAGAUUUCCUUGAGUCUUCCUUUAUUUUUCCCUGUUGGUUUUUACCUAUGAAUGAUAUUUGACAAAAACAGAUCAGGAGCACACGGAACAACCACUCUUGUUCUCACACCCCUCAUCCAGACCAACUCUAAGCUCUCAUCCUUACAGCCCUCAAGUGUCUGUGCUUAGUUUAGAGCAGCCAGUGGUGAAAAUCCUAGCAAAUUCAAACUUUCACCCACAGAUAACUAGUCCCAUUAUAUGCCUAUUGACAUUUUUGAAAACGUAGGCAUUUAAGGUAUGUAUUUUGAAGAAUAAUGGUAUAGUUUUCAGUAUGGCAUACAACUCCUAUAGAGUACAUGAGAAGUCUUCCACCUCCAAACAGCCAAAGAUGCCACUAAAUCAGAACAAAUGCAUGUUAUAUUUACUAUUAGUUCUUGGCAAAGUAAUCUUGAAUCUCAAAGACUUUUUCCCAAAUUGCUGAAGAAUACACUUACAUUAGAAGUUCACUGGAUACAUGGAAUAGAGAAAUAAUGAUUGCAUAGUUAUUUUUCUUUGAAUAAAAUAACCUUUUAAAAUAACUUUGUUUAAUAUUAAAUUAAAUAAAUAUUUAAUGCAUAUUGUACAAAUUAGGGAUAAACCUGAAGAUAAUCCUGAAUCAAAACAUACCCAAAUUUUGGAUUGGUUCAGAUCCAUACCAGAAUGCUGGUAUAAGCCACUUCUAGUUUUGAGAGAGAACAUACCAAGCUUUAGUAUUUAUCAAUUACACAUUUUAAUUAUUAUUUUCUCCUGGAUUACAAGUGUAUGGCCCUCAGGAUGCACAAUGAUUGAUUUGUCACAAUAAAAAGCUGGCUGUGACCUUUUUAGCUUAAAA